UACGUAGGCAGCAAGCGUUGUUCGGAAUUACUGGGCGUAAAGGGUGCGUAGGCGGCUUUUUAAGUUUGGUGUGAAAUCUCCCGGCUCAACUGGGAGGGUGCGCCGAAUACUGAGAGGCUAGAGUGUGGGAGAGGAAAGUGGAAUUCCUGGUGUAGCGGUGAAAUGCGUAGAUAUCAGGAGGAACACCGGUGGUGUAAACGGCUUUCUGGACCAUAACUGACGCUGAGGCACGAAAGCGUGGGUAGCAAACAGG
rnacentral:rRNA from 1 species